UGGUGCUUGCAUCAUGAUUUACAUUUGAGUGAGUGGCGAACUGGUGAGUAACACGUGGGAAACCUGCCCAGAAGCGGGGGAUAACACCUGGAAACAGAUGCUAAUACCGCAUAACAACUUGGACCGCAUGGUCCGAGCUUGAAAGAUGGCUUCGGCUAUCACUUUUGGAUGGUCCCGCGGCGUAUUAGCUAGAUGGUGGGGUAACGGCUCACCAUGGCAAUGAUACGUAGCCGACCUGAGAGGGUAAUCGGCCACAUUGGGACUGAGACACGGCCCAAACUCCUACGGGAGGCAGCAGUAGGGAAUCUUCCACAAUGGACGAAAGUCUGAUGGAGCAACGCCGCGUGAGUGAAGAAGGGUUUCGGCUCGUAAAACUCUGUUGUUAAAGAAGAACAUAUCUGAGAGUAACUGUUCAGGUAUUGACGGUAUUUAACCAGAAAGCCACGGCUAACUACGUGCCAGCAGCCGCGGUAAUACGUAGGUGGCAAGCGUUGUCCGGAUUUAUUGGGCGUAAAGCGAGCGCAGGCGGUUUUUUAAGUCUGAUGUGAAAGCCUUCGGCUCAACCGAAGAAGUGCAUCGGAAACUGGGAAACUUGAGUGCAGAAGAGGACAGUGGAACUCCAUGUGUAGCGGUGAAAUGCGUAGAUAUAUGGAAGAACACCAGUGGCGAAGGCGGCUGUCUGGUCUGUAACUGACGCUGAGGCUCGAAAGUAUGGGUAGCAAACAGGAUUAGAUACCCUGGUAGUCCAUACCGUAAACGAUGAAUGCUAAGUGUUGGAGGGUUUCCGCCCUUCAGUGCUGCAGCUAACGCAUUAAGCAUUCCGCCUGGGGAGUACGGCCGCAAGGCUGAAACUCAAAGGAAUUGACGGGGGCCCGCACAAGCGGUGGAGCAUGUGGUUUAAUUCGAAGCUACGCGAAGAACCUUACCAGGUCUUGACAUACUAUGCAAAUCUAAGAGAUUAGACGUUCCCUUCGGGGACAUGGAUACAGGUGGUGCAUGGUUGUCGUCAGCUCGUGUCGUGAGAUGUUGGGUUAAGUCCCGCAACGAGCGCAACCCUUAUUAUCAGUUGCCAGCAUUAAGUUGGGCACUCUGGUGAGACUGCCGGUGACAAACCGGAGGAAGGUGGGGAUGACGUCAAAUCAUCAUGCCCCUUAUGACCUGGGCUACACACGUGCUACAAUGGAUGGUACAACGAGUUGCGAACUCGCGAGAGUAAGCUAAUCUCUUAAAGCCAUUCUCAGUUCGGAUUGUAGGCUGCAACUCGCCUACAUGAAGUCGGAAUCGCUAGUAAUCGCGGAUCAGCAUGCCGCGGUGAAUACGUUCCCGGGCCUUGUACACACCGCCCGUCACACCAUGAGAGUUUGUAACACCCAAAGUCGGUGGGGUAAC
rnacentral:rRNA from 1 species